rnacentral:rRNA from 1 species
GGUGGUGCAUGGCCAAACUUAGUUCGUGGAUUGAUCUGUCUGGUUUAUUCCGUUAACGAACGAGAUCUCGACUUUUAAUUACAGUGCAGUGGAAUCCACCGUACUACUGGUUUUAAAAGGACACUCUGUGUGAAACAGCAGGGAGGUUCGAGGUUAAUUUAGGUCUGUUAUGCCCUUCGAUAACUUGGGCCUCACGCGCGAUACAAUGCAAGAUUCUAUUUCUCUCUAGUUAGUAAUGAUUAGAAAAUUCUCAAUACCUUGCCUGACUGGGAUUGUUCAUUGAAAUUUUUGAUCAUGAACGAGGAAUUUCUUGUAAGCAUGGAGUCAUCAACUUCUGCUGAAUAUGUCCCUGUGCUUUGUACACACCGCCCGUCGUUUCAUCCGACUGGAAGUUAUGGUGAAUGAUUUGGAUCGAUUGCGCAAGCAUCGAAAAGGAUUGUAAAUCUUAACGUCUGAAGGAUGAAAAAGUCGUAACACGGCAACAGUUGUUGAAACAGUUGUUGGAUCAUUCCUACU